rnacentral:rRNA from 1 species
UAUAAGCAAUCUAUACUGUGAAACUGCGAAUGGCUCAUUAAAUCAGUUAUCGUUUAUUUGAUAGUACCUUACUACUUGGAUAACCGUGGUAAUUCUAGAGCUAAUACAUGCUAAAAACCCCGACUUCGGAAGGGGUGUAUUUAUUAGAUAAAAAACCAAUGCCCUUCGGGGCUCCUUGGUGAAUCAUGAUAACUUAACGAAUCGCAUGGCCUUGUGCCGGCGAUGGUUCAUUCAAAUUUCUGCCCUAUCAACUUUCGAUUGUAGGAUAGAGGCCUACAAUGGUUUCAACGGGUAACGGGGAAUUAGGGUUCUAUUCCGGAGAGGGAGCCUGAGAAACGGCUACCACAUCCAAGGAAGGCAGCAGGCGCGCAAAUUACCCAAUCCCGAUACGGGGAGGUAGUGACAAUAAAUACUGAUACAGGGCUCUUUUGGGUCUUGUAAUUGGAAUGAGUACAAUUUAAAUCUCUUAACGAGGAACAAUUGGAGGGCAAGUCUGGUGCCAGCAGCCGCGGUAAUUCCAGCUCCAAUAGCGUAUAUUAAAGUUGUUGCAGUUAAAAAGCUCGUAGUUGAACCUUGGGCCUGGCUGGCCGGUCUGCCUCACCGCAUGUACUGGUUCGGCCGGGUCUUUCCUCCUGGGGAUCCGCAUGCCCUUCACUGGGUGUGUUGGGGAACCAGGACUUUUACUUUGAAAAAAUUAGAGUGUUCAAAGCAGGCCUUUGCUCGAAUACAUUAGCAUGGAAUAAUAGAAUAGGACGUGCGGUCCUAUUUUGUUGGUUUCUAGGACCGCCGUAAUGAUUAAUAGGGAUAGUCGGGGGCAUCAGUAUUCAGUUGUCAGAGGUGAAAUUCUUGGAUUUACUGAAGACUAACUACUGCGAAAGCAUUUGCCAAGGAUGUUUUCAUUAAUCAGUGAACGAAAGUUAGGGGAUCGAAGACGAUCAGAUACCGUCGUAGUCUUAACCGUAAACUAUGCCGACUAGGGAUCGGGCGAUGUUAUUCUUUUGACUCGCUCGGCACCUUACGAGAAAUCAAAGUCUUUGGGUUCU